AACCCAUGGUGAGGCCACCUUCUUAAUAAGUCAUUAUAUCUCUCCCGUGCAUUGUAAAGAGUUUCUAAAUCCAUCUGCACAAAAGAAGAGGUAUCAUCUGUAACGCC
rfam:Gossypium arboreum cultivar AKA8401 contig_31873_1, whole genome shotgun sequence.